AACGCAACUUGCGCCCUCUGGUAUUCCGGAGGGCAUGCCUGUUUGAGUGUCGUGAACACCUCAACCCUCUAAUGUUUUUGCAUUGAAGGCGUUGGUAGUGAGCGCUGCCGGUCUUUGGGUCGGCUCGCUUUAAAAUAAUUAGCUGGAUCCAUUCUGACCUGGUUCUACUCGGCGUAAUAAGUUAUUAUCGUCGAGGACGCCUAGCCUUCUAGGCAGGCGGCCACAGUAAGGGUGUUUGAACCGCUUCCAACAUGUCUUGCUCUUGUAGCAAACACUUGAACCUCUGACCUCAAAUCAGGCAGGACUACCCGCUGAACUUAA
rnacentral:misc_RNA from 1 species